rnacentral:lncRNA from 1 species
ACACAAUCAAACACACACACUUUUGUGUGUCUGAGAGUGUAUGUGGAUGUGGCAAGGGAAUUUAAAGAGAGAAAAUAAGCCGUAUAUGAGGGAGGAUGGGACCAUUGCUAGCACACACAUAAAAUACUUUACAGCACUGCAGGGCAACAAAGAGGCAGUAAAGCACCCUGCUUCCCAUUACAAACAUAGCGGCACUACCCAUGUGUCCAUGAUCACAGCUGUAAUCUCUCAUAUUCCCCGCAGCUAUAUGCUGUGUCCCAAAUGAUACCCUAUUCCAUACAUAGUGCACUACUUUUGACCAGAGCCCUAUGGGGAAUAGGGAAUAGUGCUAUUUGGGAUGCAGUAAAAGUCUGCUACCACGGCCUAUUCUGCUUGCAUGGCUUUUGGGGUCAUGAUAGUAAAGCUGCCUGACAGGUCAUCAUAGUAAAGCUGCCUGACAGGUCAUCAUAGUAAAGCUGCCUGACAGGUCAUCAUAGUAAAGCUGCCUGAUAGGUCAUCAUAGUAAAGCUGCCUGACAAGUCAUCAUAGUAAAGCUGCCUGACAAGUCAUCAUAGUAAAGCUGCCUGACAAGUCAUCAUAGUAAAGCUGAGUUGAGAGCGGAGAGGGAAAGAAGAUACAGACAUUUGGUAGGGGUGCUUUGUGGCUCAUAGAAACUGAUCCAGGGCUGGUA